rfam:Aedes albopictus isolate Foshan contig146858, whole genome shotgun sequence.
UGUUCUGUGGCUUAGUUGGUUAAAGCGCCGGUCUAGCGAAGUCGAGGGUUUGAAUCCCACCAGAACGC